UGAGGAAAACGUCGGAAUCUGCCUAUUUGUGGGGGAUAACGUAGGGAAACUUACGCUAAUACCGCAUACGACCUACGGGUGAAAGUGGGGGACCGCAAGGCCUCACGCAGAUAGAUGAGCCGACGUCGGAUUAGCUAGUUGGCGGGGUAAAGGCCCACCAAGGCGACGAUCCGUAGCUGGUCUGAGAGGAUGAUCAGCCACACUGGAACUGAGACACGGUCCAGACUCCUACGGGAGGCAGCAGUGGGGAAUAUUGGACAAUGGGCGCAAGCCUGAUCCAGCCAUGCCGCGUGUGUGAAGAAGGCCUUCGGGUUGUAAAGCACUUUUGUCCGGAAAGAAAAGCUUAGGGUUAAUAACCUUGAGUCAUGACGGUACCGGAAGAAUAAGCACCGGCUAACUUCGUGCCAGCAGCCGCGGUAAUACGAAGGGUGCAAGCGUUACUCGGAAUUACUGGGCGUAAAGCGUGCGUAGUGGUUUGUUAAGUCUGAUGUGAAAGCCCUGGG
rnacentral:rRNA from 1 species